GGAUGUGAGGGCGAUCUGGCUGCGACAUCUGUCACCCCAUUGAUCGCCAGGGUUGAUUCGGCUGAUCUGGCUGGCUAGGCGGGUGUCCCCUUCCUCCCUUACUGCUCCACGUGCAUCCCUCCCGAAGCUGUGCACUCGGUCGAAGACGACAACCAUCCCCGAUAGAGGAGGACCGGUCUUCGGUCAAGGGUAUACGAGUAGCUGUGCUCCCCUGCUAGAACCUCCAAACAAGCUCUCAAAAUACAAUGCUAAGCACAGGGAUGAAUAAAACAUCAUUAAAUUUAAUUAACAAUAAAAAAUAGUUAGCCGGGCACAGUGGCUCACACCUAUAAUACCAGCAUUU
ensembl:misc_RNA 7SK 7SK RNA